GUCAGGCAUAGUGGCGCAUGCCUGUAAUCCCAGUGGCUUGAGAGGCUGAGGCAGGAAGAUUCUGAGUUCAAAGCCGGCAUCAGCAACUUAGGUCCUUAGCAACUCAACAUGAUCCUGUCUCUA
rnacentral:sRNA from 1 species